rnacentral:tRNA from 1 species
GGAUAAGUGGCGGAAUUGGAAACGCCUAAUUAUGUAGUUUAACGGUGCGGCUCUUGAAGUAUCAUUCCCGGUUCGAAUCCGGGCUUAUCCA